UGGCCCUUCGCCAAGUGGUAAGGCACUGGGUUCUGAUCCCGGCAUCCGAGGUUCGAAUCCUUGAGGGCCUGCCA
rnacentral:tRNA from 1 species